ACUACAUAAAGCUGGAAUUCGCUAGUAAUCGUGAAUCAGCAAUGUCACGGUGAAUACGUUCCCGGGUCUUGUACUCACCGCCCGUCACACCAUGGGAGUUGUAUUCGCCUUAAGUCGGGAUACUAAAUUGGUUACCGCCCACGGCGGAUGCAGCGACUGGGGUGAAGUCGUAACAAGGUAGC
rnacentral:rRNA from 1 species